CUUCGCAUUUCUUACCUGGAAGUUGGGAUGGCUUUUAUUUACAUCUUGUAAAAGUCUUCACUACUUUCAGUUCGGAGAUGUGUCU
rnacentral:pre_miRNA from 1 species